UUCGGAUGCUCCAAAUCUAGCCAAAAAAUUUCAUAACAUCAAAAUAUGCUAAGGGAACAAAGCCCACUCAAAAAUAACCAAUUUACAUCAAAAUUUUCGAAAUUGGCCAAACCCGACCCCCGGGUCCACGUCUCGGAUCACAAUAAGAAAAAUGGCCAUUAGCAAUGAGAAAUAUGGUCCUUACAAGUCCAAUUCUGGUCCCUAAAUGUCACUAGCGACUGGAAAAAACUGGUCGCAACCCGUCGCUAAAAAUUAGUAACGACGAGGUUGCACAUCUGGUCCUUAAAGGUAGUUAGCGACCGACGGUAUUCUUGUCCCUAAAAUACAUUUAAGGACCAUAUUCUUAGUCCCAAAAUAUGAUGCUUGGUCGUUGUUUUGGUAUAGUCAAAUUACUGGCGACCAUUUACCCUGGUCCUAAAAGGUCUUUAAGGACAAUAAAUUUGGUCCUUAAAGGAUCUUUAAGGGUAAGCUUUCCACUAGCCCAUAAAUUGUGGCUCCUAAAUCAAUAUAUUAGAAGUAUUUUUUUUUCAAUCCUGUUCACCAUAAUAUUAUACAAUUUAUAGUACAAGAAAUCAAUUGGAUUCAACAAAAUUAUCAAUGCUAUCAUUAUUUUUUUAUAUAUGAAGAAGUACAAAAAAUAGAUUUGCAUCUCAAUAUACUAUCACUGGACUAUGAUAUAAUUCAUUACAUUAUUUACACCACCUCUUAGCAGAAGAGAUAACAUCUAUAGCAAAAAGUAUAAAAUUUUGCCUAGCAAUCUUUGUAAAAUAAUAAUCAACUCGUCAACUUGAAUGAAGUCUUCAAAACCUACAUCUUGACGUGCAAACUAAGUAUCCAAAACCUGUGAAAAAUAUAAAAUAUUCUAUGAAAAAAGCUACAAGGAUGAACUAGAAAAUUGGUUUAAAAAAUUUCAUCUAAAUUAAGAGUAGUAGUAACUUAACCACUCACAUGUCAGAUUCUAUCAAGUGUAAUUAUAUGCACCUUCAAAAUUUGAAACAUCAAGGAAAAAGGGGCUGCAAAAAAUAUAAACGAUAAUAAAUUAGAAUAUCAAACAAACAAUGUUAGAGUAGAAGCUAGCAUUCUUUUAUCAUUGACACAAAUUAUUGAACAUGAGCAAAACCUUAUAAAACUGAUCAUUAAACAUUAAGAAACAUGAAGCUGAAAUUUAACAUGACAUGGAUCCAAACUCCAGUCUAUAUAUAAUAUUGAGAUCAAGUAUUUAAAGCUAAUCCAUAAACAAGUACCAAAUGUGCUAACUAUAUAAAACGACAGCUUCAUUUAAACGGGAUCAAAUCUCGAAAUAAACUAGAAGACAUAACAAUUUUCUAAGAUGUACAAUCAAAUAAGAAACAUAAAACAAGAAAGAGCCCCCAAAAUUGAUCAUGUCAUUGAAUGCGGGAAGCAUAAUAAAAGACUCAAUAUGAAAUUACAUGAUUAGUAAUCUUCAAUUAAAGAUUCAAUAUAAACUUCAUAACAAUUUAAGGUAUAGAGAUAUUAAGCUUUUCACUGAAGUAUUCAAUGGCUUUUUCAAUUACCGAUGUCAAUGAUCUUCUGAUAACAAGACAGAUAUACAACAACAACAAUAACAACAACCCAGUAAAAUCCCACUAGUAGGGUCUAGGGAGGGUAGUAUAUACGCAGACCUUACUCCUACCCCGCAGGAGUAGAGUAACAAGACAGAUAUAGACCUUUUUAAUUCAUACCACUUCUUUUGCCAGUUUCUCCUUACAUUGAUCUGAAUAUUUUUUGUUUCAUGAACAAGCUCAACAAUUCUUCAACUAUGACAUGUCUAAUGCAUCAGUAAAGAAGAAGAAUCAAAAGUCAAUGGACAUUGUAAAUAAAAUGAAAGAACUUGCAAAAUUUCAUAAGAUAGAGAAAAAGAAUAAUGUAUAGGACUUGAAAUGUUGCUUACCCUAUACCCAUAGUACUCCAAUAACAAGGCCAGUUUCUCCAUGAAGUCUUUCAGCUCCAUUGCUGCCUACUACAACAGUGAUAAAAAAUUUCUAAUGACAGAACGAAAGAAUUUUAUUGUAUUCUACUACUCAAAUUAUAAAAGUUGUUCCUCAGACCUAUAUUACAUUAUGUUAAAACAAUUAUAGUCACCGCUCACUAACCAUUAGCGCCAGUGCGUAAAUUGCUCUAACAUUUCUUAUAUCGAUAUCAUGCUUAAAUAAAGAUAUGAUAAAUCUAAUGCAAUGUUUUCACUUAAAAAGAGCUAUUUGUUUGUGAAAUAAAGAUUCAUUCAACACUAGCCCGUUAAUAUACAUUAGAGAAUCAAGUUUAUCAAGGCAAUAAACUAAAAUAAUGAGACCUUUAAACUGUAGGAAAAUGGCACUUGAUCCAAAAUGAACGGGUUUCACCCACCAAAGCUCAAGGGCAGUGACAAUAUAGACAUAGACAUCUGUUAAUAACUAUAGUGUAAAUGGCUAGCACAAAAGUCAAACAAUGAUAAAACCAAGAGAACACAAUAGAACCUUAAAAAAUUUGGUAUGGCCAAUUGCAAUAAAAAUAACAAGUAGUCCACGAAAGAAAAUAAUAUUUUAUAGUUCGCAACAAAAAUUAAAUUGUUAGGUAAGUUAUCAACCAUUAAAAGGACGCUUAAAUAGAGCUAGCGCAAAAUUUUAGAACUUCACACUUUUGCUAAGCUUUCUCUUACCUUUCUAUUGAAAAAUUAAAUCUGGAUUUUCAGUCACAAAAUCCAGUACCUUGCUUCCUCCCCUCCCAUCACAUCUCCUCCCCUGCCCCACAAACCACGAACAACCCAAAUGGUAUCAAGCAUCAACAUAUUCAUGCUAAAAAGAGAUUAAUUUUACCAUGCAAAAUUACAGAAGCAACCAUCAUCCAAACAAAGUGAUUUGCAAACUAGAGAAUAUCAUAAUCUAAUUAAUUGGAUUAGUCGCACAAUAAGACUAUAGUAAAGAAAGCACCAAAAACCUCAAGCUUCACCCAAAACUCUAUUUGUACCAAAUCAAUGACACUUACGAAUCAUCGUCUCCGUCUACUUCUCAAAGAUAUAUAGGAAAGGAUGAACAUAUACUUACCUGAUUAGUGAACCCCCCAAAAGAGUAUCUCUUACUGAAAUCACUACAAUUCCCCAAAGCCCGGACAUGACAUAGAACAACCAGAGAUGUUAGAUCCAAAAAGUUGAGAGUUCUAUCAGCACGAGCUGUAAGGUAAGUAAUUUUUAAGAGAAAAUAAUAAAAACCCAAAUCCCCCAUAAAAUUCAAUAAAGGACAAGUUUGCCAAAUCCCAAAAUAUAUAACCAAAUCUGAAGGAAUUUUAAAAUUUUAUUUCGAUCUUUCCUGGGUUUAGGAAAAGUAGACUUUCUCGCAUGUGAUUUACCCAAUUGUCCCCUCGCUGAUAUUCCAAAAUGGCAUACGAAUUUAUAAUGGCAAACCCCCGCCACUCUUUCACAAAUAAAUCACAAAAGUUUAAAAAUAUACACCAUUUAUAAAUUACAUAGAUGAACGAGUUUAACUGGGGGGGGGGGAAGAAAAGAAGAAUUUUUUAUAUAUAUAAGGACUUACAUCUCUUUGUAGUUUUCGUGCCUAAAUCAUCAGCGACGUAAAAAUUUAGAUCAGAUUUCUAGGAUAUUUUUGCAUAUACCAUCUCCAGAAAAAGAGGGCUCACAUGGAUUAGUAGCAUGAUUUGUUAGAUCGAGUGUAUCCAAAAGAGUUUAGGGUUUUGAAGAACCAAAAUUUGACAAACAAGAGGUUUAAUUGAAUAAAAGAGAGAGGUUAUAUUGGAAUGUUGUUUUU
rnacentral:lncRNA from 1 species